UACGUAGGGUGCAAGCGUUGUCCGGAAUUAUUGGGCGUAAAGAGCUCGUAGGCGGUUUGUUGCGUCGGCUGUGAAAUCCCGAGGCUCAACCUCGGGUCUGCAGUCGAUACGAGCAAACUAGAGUGUUGCAGGGGAGACUGGAAUUCCUGGUGUAGCGGUGAAAUGCGCAGAUAUCAGGAGGAACACCGGUGGCGAAGGCGGGUCUCUGGGCAACAACUGACGCUGAGGAGCGAAAGCGUGGGGAGCAAACAGG
rnacentral:rRNA from 1 species